GGGGAGAUCCUCUCCCCCACUAAGGUAAGUAUUCUAUCCUAUUUAUUUUCAUGCAUUUUAUCAUUCUUACUUAAAAAAAAAUAUUUAUUAGCAUUUCCCUUUAGCAUAUAUGCUUCAUGUAUGUUUAUAUCCCUCAUGGAAAUGAUGACUAGUUGCUUGUUAAUGUUUCUCUAGUACCUAGUAUACAACUUAGUAUUUCUCUAAGUAUGGAUCACUUAGCUCACUUAAACUGCCAUGAACCUAAAAACUUUGUGGGUUGCAAGUGCUAGAACUAAGUCUAAGUUGUUGUGGGACAUGAGAUAGUAAGACAAGAGCUACUAUAAUAUUUUUCUAAGCAUGCAUGAUUAUCAUAGAUUUAUUCUUAAAAUGAUCAAAACCUUAAUUGUUCCUCAAUGGUGAUGAAUUCCUACCACAGCCAUAUCUACUUUACAUAAUUGCAAUCUUUCCACAUAAAGCUAUUUGCUUUGUGUUGAGUGUCGUCAAGUCUUGUUGACCCUUGUUAAGAGACUUUUCAUGCUCCUGAGAUCAAGAUCACGUACACACCACAUAUAUAUAUGCUGCUUCUACACUGGAAGUACGCAACCACAUGUAUUUCGCAUCCACUAAAUAGGUUGCUCCAUACUCUAAAUGUUAGAACAUCUCUCCAAGCAUUAUUUGGUAAAUGAGACAUCAAAAGGCUAGGCAAAAUGAAAUAAAAAGAUGGACAUGUGCAAGUCCACAGAAAAAGAAAAUUGAGCACAUGAAAGCUCAUAUAUAAAAAAAAGAAGAAAAAAAUGCUAGCCAUGUCUCAAUACAUAGAGAGUCUAUCAAAUAAAGGAGCAACCUAGUCCACCAUAUAUCACACUUGCACAUCUUGAUCUGGGAGUAUGACACUUCUCUUCAAGGAUCCGAGCUUUGACUUCGCAAUAUAUGCAAAGUAAGUAUGCUAUCUCCUUUCAUCCCUACCUUGAACUCCACAUAAGCCUUUUAGAAAUAGGAUGAAAUAGAGAAGGCAACUCUUACCAUAUGCCUUGGUGAGGAAUCAUACACCAUUUGAGUGACAUGAGAGAACCAUAAGAGGAACAUUUAAGCUUUCUUUUGAAAAUAUCACAAAACCUCUGAUAUGAAACUUGCUAAGAAUGAGAAAGUUAGUGCUCAAGUCAAACUGUUCUGUCUCUCAACCACCUAAGACAAAGGAAAAGCCAUAAGCCCCAUAAGGGACAAAGGUAAUAGGGGUAAGUUUACAUAGCUAAAUUUUUCAUGCAAAGAGAAGAACUUUGUUGUACACAUGGUACUCUUGAAAUGUGAACAUAGUAACAAUACCUGAUCCACCGAGGCUA
rnacentral:lncRNA from 1 species